rnacentral:rRNA from 1 species
AACGAACGCUGGCGGCGUGCCUAACACAUGCAAGUCGAGCGCGAAAGGAGCAAUCCGAGUAGAGCGGCGCACGGGUGCGUAACCCGUGGAUAAUCUGCCUCAGGGUUGAGGAUAACCUUCCGAAAGGUUGGCUAAUACUCGGUAAGCUUACGGUGACUUCGGUCGCUGUGAGAAAACUAGACCUCUAUUUAUAAGUUUAGGCCCAGAGAUGAGUCCGCGGCCCAUCAGCUAGUUGGCGGGGUAACGGCCCACCAAGGCUACGACGGGUAGCUGGUCUGAGAGGGCGAUCAGCCACACUGGAACUGAGACACGGUCCAGACUCCUACGGGAGGCAGCAGUGGGGAAUUUUCCACAAUGGGCGAAAGCCUGAUGGAGCAACGCCGCGUGUGUGAUGAAGGUCUUCGGAUCGUAAAGCACUUUCGACUGGGACGAAAAACCUUUGGCUAACAUCCAGGGGCCUGACGGUACCAGGAGAAGAGGCACCGGCUAACUCUGUGCCAGCCGCCGCAGUAACAC